rnacentral:misc_RNA from 1 species
ACAUCGCGUCGCCACACCUCGACUCUCCUCCGCUCUCCCAUCUGACCCCCCUCCUGCCUACCGCCCCCUCUCUCCUCGUCCGCUGUGCUGCGUCGUCUGCCUUCCACCCCUUCCGUGGCCUCUCCCGUCUUCCUCGGCGCCGCCCUUCGCACUCUCUCGCUCUUGUGUGUUUUCGCCCAUGAUGCCGAGUAUACCAGUCAUUGUCUACGUGGUCCUGCAGUUCGUGGCGUUCUUCUUCGUGCUGGUGGGAACGCCGAUUGACAUGUUCCGCAGCAGCAACAGCAGUGUUUUCGUUGGCCAGUGCAUCACUCUAUGGGGUUUUAAACGUGACUGUCUCUCUUUGAACUACGUUCGCACAACCGAUAUGUCUUUUGAAAAGUGCCCAUCACGCAUCACCCGAUUCCGCCUUGCGCAGGGAUGCGCCAUCAUCUCCAUCCUAGUGUACGGCGGAGCGUUCAUGCUGGGCUUUAUUUUGCUGUUCUGCUGCUCUUUGCUCCGGUGGGUCUGCCUGGUACUCAACGUGGUCGGCAUGGUCACCUCGUGCAUUGUGUGGGCGGCCAUGGCAGUGACAUACAACAAGACUGACGACAGAGUGUGCCUGCCGGUAAAAACACUGGGAAGAUAUGGUGCCGGCUUCGUGCUCUUUGUGCUGGCCUGGAUACUGGAUGUCAUCAACAUCAUCCUGUUGCUCCUUCCCUAUGACGGCGUGGACGCUGGAGCGAAUCGAAAGGCAGAGCUGCCGACCGCGCAGGAGUAGAAUGGAGGCACCAAGAGGCAACGGGGGGGGGGCUUGACAGCGGCGCGGCCCCUCCCCCACACUGGCGUCCUCGUGGUGGAGCCGGUGUCGGCGAGGAUGUGGGUGCGCAAGCUGCGGGUUCCCGUGUGUGCCCUUCGCCGGCCCAGCCCUCUCGCUGCCCUGUCCUUCGUGCAUGCGUGUGCGGCACGCCGUGCACCGGGACAGCUGCCGAGGGGUGGUUGCGGCACUUCCUCCAGGAGUGCUGAUGGCACACGGCGCCUGUAUGCGUGUGUGUCUGUGUGCAGGCGCCCCCUGCGACCCUCCUCCCUCUUCUUCCGUGAGCGGCCCCCGCGACCGCGCCCCUCCCUCGCCUACGCUGCCGUUGCUCGCGCGUCUCUGUUUUCGUGCGUUAUUCGCGGGUGCCGCCGCACGCUCUCGCGCUCCUUGAUGCUCGUUUCUCUUUCGGGUUCUGCGAUGCUUGCUGUUCUCUCCUCCGCGCAG